rnacentral:tRNA from 1 species
AAGCAGUUAGCUCAGGUGGUAGAGCAUACCUUUGAUAAGGGUAUGGUCCUUGGUUCAAAUCCAAGACUGCUUA